ACGCUGAAGGCAUCUAAGCGUGAAGCCCCCCUCAAGAUGAGAUAUCCCAUUCUUAUGAAGUAAACCCCCUUGAAGACGACGAGGUAGAUAGGGCAGAGGUGGAAGUGUGGUAACACAUGGAGCUGACUGUUACUAAUCGGGUGAGGGCUUGACCAAG
rnacentral:rRNA from 2 species